rnacentral:lncRNA from 1 species
UCCACCUGCACCACCAGCUCCACCGGCACCACCAGCUCCACCUCCUUCACCACCCCCACCGCCAUAUCCAGAAGCUCCACCACCAUAUCCACCUGCACUAGCUCCGCCGCCACCACUACCGCCACCACCUCCAUGUCCACCUGCACCACCAGCUCCACCGGCACCACCAGCUCCACCUCCUUCGCCACCUCCACCGCCAUAUCCAGAAGCUCCACCACCAUAUCCACCUGCACUAGCUCCGCCACCACCACUACCACCACCACCUCCAAUUCCACCCGCUCCUCCAUACCCGCCGGCACCACCAGCUCCGCCUCCUUCACCACCUCCACCACCAUAUCCAGAAGCUCCACCGCCAUAUCCACCUGCACUAGCUCCACCACCACCAUUGCCACCUCCUCCACCACCUCCAUAACCAGCAGGACCGCCACCACCACCUUCUCCUUUACCACCACCACCUCCAUAUCCAGCAGCUCCGGCUUCUCCUAGAUUUGCAUGGGCACCGCCACCUCCUGCACCUCCUCCACCUCCUCCUCCAAGGUAGCCAUUACCAUAUACCCCAACAUUGGCACCACCAUGACCAAUGCUCGAAAGGUGAGGAGUUACU